rnacentral:rRNA from 1 species
GAUGAACGCUAGCGGCAGGCUUAACACAUGCAAGUCGAGGGGCAGCGCGGGAUAGCAAUAUCCUGGCGGCGACCGGCGGAAGGGUGCGUAACGCGUGAGCGACAUGCCCGUUGCCCGGGGACAACCGGUGGAAACGCCGACUAAUCCCCGAUGGGAUACGAUGCUUCAUGGCAUUGUAUUGAAAGUUACGGCGGCGACGGAUUAGCUCGCGUCCGAUUAGCUGGUUGGCGGGGUAACGGCCCACCAAGGCUGCGAUCGGUAGGGGUUCUGAGAGGAAGGCCCCCCACAAUGGGACUGAGACACGGCCCAUACUCCUACGGGAGGCAGCAGUGAGGAAUAUUGGUCAAUGGGCGGAAGCCUGAACCAGCCAUGCCGCGUGCGGGAAGGAGGCCCUAUGGGCUGUGAACCGCUUUUGCCUGGGGGCAAUAAGGGCGUCGCGCACGUCCGAUGAGAGUACCAGGCGAAUAAGCAUCGGCUAACUCCGUG